GAGAUGCUGGGGGUGGGAGGGGUGGGGGGCAAAUGGGUGGAGGGAGGCAGAAGCUUAAGUUGUACUUAAAGAAUUGAGAUCAAAGCCUUCCGGCUUCCAGAUGGGGACUGUGGGGGAGGGCUGCACCAUCCCCCCGCCAGGGGCGGAUGAGGCUGAGCCCCCCUUCCUCGGAAACCCCCCGAGACUCUGCGGUGACAGCUGUGCCCCAGCCCGCGCCCGGCGGGUUUCCUUUUCCUGUGCUGGCUCUCCUGACUGGCUGGCCUGCAGUAUGGCGACACCGGCCCGGCCCUUUUGAAGGAGCUCCCUGGAGGGUCUUCCUGGACGAGGGGGAGGGGGCCAGCUGGAGAACAAUGGGCUUCUGUGGCUGCAGGACGCCAGGCACUUCCUGUUAACUCUUCACUCGGGGCCCAGCUGCAGAGGGGGGAGCAAGGCGAGGGGAAUGACAAAACCAGCAAAUGCACAGCUUUUUCUCUUGUUCCACGACUUGUUUGUGAAAGUACCUGGAAAUGGUGAGAUGAAUGCAGACCUUGUCCUCCUCAAUGGAGUCACAGGGCCUGUUUCUUUUCCCCUCUGUUGCUGAGGGUUGUACCAUCAGGGGACGGGGCAUGGCUAGAAAUCCCGGGAUAUCUGGGGCUGGGCUGGGCUGGGCCGGGCAGGGGACUCAGGUGUCCCAGGUGAGUCCAAAGUACAGCUAUGUUUGCCAAGCACGGUUGUUCUAACUGCCCUGCCGGGCGAACUGGAGGUUGCGCUCCCCCGAGCCAUUCCCUUGGUAGUCUGGGCCUCAGUUUCCCUCAGUUUGGGAAGUUCUCCCAAGGGAUUGACCAGAGCACAGGGUGGUCCUAGGGGGCCAGGGUGAGCUGAGCGGGGAGUCUUGGAAAUGCUCUGCUCUUCCUUGGAGCCCUGGAAAGACAUGUUGGGGAAUUAGCCGCUGUGUUAGUUGAGGCUUCAUGCAAAGUCCUGGGUGUUUACAGAGCUAACCUGAGAAGCACCCUCAGAAGAUUCUGUGAGCCUCUGAAGGGCCCCUGAAGACUCAGCAUUCAACCCCAGGGGCUGCCGGUUAGAGACCAGAUCACAUGCCCUGUUCUUAGAAGAGACAGUGUGUAUUUAUAGUUACUGCCCGCCAGGUGCUUUGCUGGGCUCAUUCUGCAUAUUCACUUAGUUAACCCCUGCCCAAGCCUGGGUCAGAAUUAAAGUAGGCACUUUCACUAGCACCAUUUUACGGAUGAGGGAGUUGAGGCACAGAGAAAACGUGUCUACUAAAACAAAGCCCAUUGUUUUUCUUUCUCUCCUGGAUUUGGGGGCAGAGGAUGGGGUGGGUGGGUAGCGAUCUUUCUCCAGACCAGUGGACUUUUGCUUGUGUAUACCCAGCACCUUAUCAUAGAUAAGGAAAGAGAGCUCAGGGUGGUGAGAUCCAUGGUCCAGGUCCUCUGGCCACCACCGGGCGUCCUUUUCUCUCGUGCAUCCUGGGCUAGCCACCCACUAGCUUCGCCCACCAGCUUCCUCCUUCAGCAUUUGCAGACCCACUUGCUGGGUGAUUCUGUACUGUCUUUUCUUCUGUUUCUUCUGGUGAAAACAUCCCCAGAGGCCAAUCUGUGCGUGCUCAGCCCAGGGGCUUGAUGAGGACAAAGUUGGGUUUGGGUUUUAGUUUUUGUUGCUUUUUGUUUUGGGUGAGCAAAUCCAAACCGCCCACACUGCUAGACUAGAAAGGCUGCUGCUGGGCCCCCUUGCAGGUGUCUGGAACAAGAAAUGGCUCACUGCUUCACCCUUUAGACCCGGGGGUGGGGCGAGGGAAGGCCGGGAGGGCCAUCAGAGGCCACCUGCCAUGUUAGGGGUGUGUUAGAGGCCGCAGGAGUCUGGGCCUCAGCCCAUGGGCCCCAGGCCAGCCCACUGCCAACCAGCCUCCACCUGAGUACCGCCCCCCCCACCCCGCCUCCACCGCCACUCCGCUCCCCUGCUGUGGCCCGCCCUUCCGGAAUGAAACUUGUCCUGGCUUGGAGCCACCAGGAAGGCCAAAGCAAGCCUGCAAUUACUGCUGGGGCCCUGCCGGCUGCGGCUUGGAGGCUCAGCAUGGGGCGGGGGUGGAGCUCCUCCCCGUCGGGCCGUGUGCCUGGAGUGGUGGUUCAAGUCUGCAGCUUCUACCCCCAGGUAGUCCCCUGCUGGCUUCUGGCUACCCAGGGAUAUUGUCUUGUAAACAGAUACUCGGAUUUUCAAAGUACUCUCCUGUUGUUUGGGACAAGGCAUUACCUUCUGAGAGGGGUGGGUAUGAAACCAGUUCCUUUUUUUUUUUUUCCAUGCCCUGGGGCUUGCUGGAUCCUAGUUCCCCGACCAGGGAUCGAACCCGUGCCCCCUGCAGUGGAAGCACGGAGUCCUAACCACUGGCCUGCCAGGGAAUUCCCUCUGAGGGAGAAACUGAGGCUGUGAGAAGGGGCUUACCCCAGGAUCUCCAGAACCUUCCUUUUAGGAAGGGGGGCUUCCCCUCUCCUGGCUUUGUGUCUCUGGCUGCUGCUGCUGCGGAGAUGAGGCUACGGAGGAGGGAAUGUGCAAGAGAGGGCCUCUGGGGACUGCAGUCAGCGGGCACUAAUGUGUCUGUCUCUGCAGCCUGGGCGUCCUUCUGUCUCCCGUGACCCCCCUCCCUUAUCCCCAGGCUUGUCCCUUUUUCUCACGACUUUCUGGACAUCUGUGGGCGGUGCAUACUUGUUGCCCAAUCUCCCAGUGAUUCCACUGUGACUAAAGCCAGCUCUGUCCCUGGAGGCUGGAACCAGGGUGCACCCCCAGGGCCACAUGUCCCAAGCUUGGACCUGGGUUUCUGGUCAGACUGGGCGAGUGGGCAGGCAGGCUGGGUCUUCUCGGCUCUGGGAAAUUCUCUGCCCACCCUCUGAAUGGCCCAGGUUCCCUCUGAUUGUCCUGGAUUACCCUAGUGUACCUGUCCCUGCUCUUGGUGAAUCUCCCUCCUUGCAGCUACCCUAUAUGUUCUAGAAAGCUAGGGAAGGAUCCUCAGAACCAUCGUCCUGCCAGCCACCCACCAGAUGGGCCAGGUCUCAGGCAUGCUCCCUGCUCUGUGCUCAAGGCCAGCAUGAUUCUUCCCCCAAACCUUCUCUAAUUCAUAUCGCAACAGAGCCCGUCCUGUCCCGUUGCCAUGGCAUCUGUGGUACCCAGAAGCCAGAUGGUCUUAUGUUCCCUAAUGCCCCUUCCAGGCUCAGGCACUUCUGAGCUCUGUGAGAGUUUACUCUGUACCCCUAAAUCCCCCCCACCACACCGAGGCUGUGUGCCCCAGUAGUCUCCCCCCAUGACUCUGAGACAGGCAGUGAUAGCACUUGUCUGAAUUUCGGAUUUGAACUGGGGUCUGUGGGAGCCUUGGAGCCUAAGGUCUUAAGAAUGACAAUCAUCAUAGCAGCUGUUGCUUCCUAGUGAGGCACUUUACCUAUGGAGUCCUCACCGCAAAGAUUUAUUACCUUAUCCUCAUUUCACAUUGUUGAAACUGAGGCCCAGGGGGGCUGGAUAGCUUGCCUGCUCUAUAUAGUCUUUACAGCGAAAAAGUGCCAGUUUCUUGCCCCCCCCCCCCCCCCCGCCGGUACGCGGGCCUCUCACUGUUGUGGCCUCUCCCGCUGCGGAGCACAGGCUCCGGAUGCGCAGGCUCAGCGGCCAUGGCUCACGGGCCCAGCCGCUCUGCGGCAUGUGGGAUCUUCCCAGACCGGGGCACGAACCCGUGUCCCCUGCAUCGGCAGGCGGACUCUCAACCACUGCGCCACCAGGGAAGCCCAGUGCCAGUUUCUUGACUCUUGACAUUUGGGGCUGGAUCGUUCUCUGUUGGGGGUGGGAGCUCUGCCUUGUGCAUCUCAGGAUGUUGAGCUGCAGUCCUGGCCUCCAUCCACUAGUGUUACCUGAAAACUGGGAUCACCUCUAGGAGGGUGUCAAGGUAAAGAUUGGGAGAAGGAAGGAUUUAUUAUUUGCAGCAGGUAAGGAGAAUACCAGAGAUCUUUCCUAAAGCAGUGUCUGUCUGAACAGCAAAACUGGGGAAGUUUUAAGUAAGGGUACGUGUAUAUUUAGGAAGGGGCUUGAGCAGAAGAGAAUUCAACAUAGAAUUGGGGCAGAGGUAGAUGGAGUCCAAGCUUUACUUGAUUGAAGUCAGAAGGGUCAACAACAUCAUUCUAUCCUCCACCUGGGUUGGGGCCUUAGUUUCUGCAGAACUCAAAGACCUGUAUCAGAUUGUUAUGUAUAUCCCUUCAGGAGGAGCUAGAUCUCUAUUUUAUUGCUGAAAUAUUGUUUCUUGACUACUUUUCCUGUGUUCCCGCAUUCCCUCGCUUCCCUUAAGGUCACUGAUUACUGAGACCCGUUCAAGGGCAAGCGUGGUGGCCAGGCUUAGAUCACAAAGUGGCUUAGGCCAGAAAUGGCUUCACUUAUGUCAAGAAAGCCAUGUCUGGUUCUCUUUCUUUGGGGACCCCCUACCCUAUCUACUUACACUAGGUAUCAGAGCGCCUCUUCCUACAGUCAUGGCAACAAAUAAUGUCCCCAGAUGUGGCUUUAAUUUGGUGUGGGGUGUGGGGCAGCCUCACCACCUGCCUUUGACUGCCCUGACUCUCCACAUAGGUGCCCGCCUGAAAAAUGUGUGUGUGUGUGUGUGUGUGUGUGUGUGUGUGUGUGUGUGUGUGUCUUUUCCCCAAAACAGGCAUGGAGUUCUGGGGAUGGAGGUGAUUGGUAGGUUCUGGCAUCUUAGGGAGGGGUCAGUGGGGCUGUCAUUCUAGGCCAUGUCCCCUUUUCCUGGUGGGAGGCGUGCAGGUUCCCCAGGCCCUGGCAGGUGGAGACAGGCAGCCCUUUUCUUCCUUCCUGGUUCCCAGGGGUGGGUGAUAGUGGCAGAGGCAACCCAGGAGCCAGAGGGUAUGGGGAGCCACGACCUGGCCUCCGGAUUUACUGGGCGGGUGCCCGGGUGUGUGCUCUGAGACACAAGGGCCCUUGUGGGUGUGGAGGAAAAACCAGAGGCUAAAGUAGGUCUCCCCCACCUGCCUGCCUGCCACCCUUACAUCCCACCCAGCCCUGGCUCCAGGCCAGCAACUGCCAGGAUAGUGACUCACAGAGCUGCAGAGCCCAGGAGAGAAACAAUGCAGGGUGGGGUGUCCCCCUCAUCCUCAACCUUCCCAGCAUCCCCGUUAAGACCAGGACCCUUGAGGGCUCUGCAUUUUACUCUCCCUGCGUGACACUGCCAUCCCCCUUCCCCGCCCCCCACCAGUGGGAUUUUUUUUUUUUCUCGGCACCGCGCUACAGCAGGAAGACAGAAAUGAGCGUGGGGCAUGGAAUGUCUGAGGUUGCAAUGUAUUUAGGCCAGGAUGAGAGAGUGUGUGUGCUGGGGAGCGGUCCAUAAAAACUAACCACCCUAUAGUUUGGGCUGCUCUCACCUUUCGAAACAGACCCCAUUCUGUCUAUGGGUUGUGUAUCUCUCUCAAUAAAUCUUACCUGUCACUUUGCCUCUUGCUGAACUCCUUCUGCGAUGAGAUGUAAAGAGUAAGUCCUGAGACCAGGUGUGCUAUUUCAAUUAAAAGACAGUGGGGCGCUUCCCCGGUGGCGCAGUGGUUGAGAGUCCGCCUGCCGAUGCAGGGGACACGGGUUCGUGCCCCAGUCCGGGAAGAUCCCACAUGCCGCGGAGCGGCUGGGCCCGUGAGCCAUGGCCGCUGAGCCUGCGCGUCCGGAGCCUGUGCUCCGCAGCGGGAGAGGCCACAGCAGUGAGAGGCCCGUGUACCGCCAAAAAAAAAAAAAAAAAAAGACAGUGGGUUUGAGUGUCAGCCUGUGGGUUCAAGUCCCAGUCUGAGUUUUGGCUGAGUUCGAGUCUCAUCUGAGGUGCGAUUGGGUUCGAGUCCCAGUCUGAGUUGUGCGGUUUCACGAUAAGGGAUAGAGUGGAGUUGUGACAGAGACCCACCCCCCUCCCAACCCGGACAUAUUUCCUGACCUGCCUCUUGCUUGCUGGUAUCUGGAUUGUACAGGUGGGGGCCUUUCCAUCAGGGUCGGGGAGACAGGCAAUAUUUGAUACUCAAGUGCACUGGUAAGCUCAGAAAAAAGAAAAUACAAUGGGGUUACAAGAGAAGGAGAGAGUGCUGGGGGGAGAGCGGAGUGGUGGCCAAUUUAGAAAGAUGGUCAGUGGCACAGUUGAAUGUUCUUCCCAUCCCAGGCCUGGAAGGGAGGUCUGUGUGUGUUGCUGCAAAGACCCCCUCAUCUGAUCUCUGCCAACCUGUUCCUCCUGGGCAGCCGACGGCCCCGGGAGUGCUUAGGGGAUUUCUGGCUUCUGACUGUGGCCAUGAUGAAGUGACCUGGUGUCCCAGGGGUCAGGGCAGUGUCUCAGGGCAGUUUAACUUGGGGAUUUGGAAGGUGCUUGAUGUGGAGGGGGGAAGAGAAGAGGGAAGCUGUCCCCAGCUGUCACCUGCCACCCUGCUUAUAGCCACUCUGUGCUGACGGCCAGAUGCAAGUCAGUGCCAGACUCCUAUACAUUUCCUUUUUUUUUUUUUUUGGAUAAUAACUUGGACUUUAUUAAAAUUAAUGCUGGGGGAAAGGCAGUGUUAAGAGAAAAAAGACCAGCUACAGAUUAGGAGAAAAUGUUUGCAAAACAAGCAUUUGAUAAGUGACUGAUAUCCAAAACAUACAAAACCAGAACGAAACAACACAAAACCAAAACCAAAACAGAAAAACCCUCUUAAAACUCCACAAUGUAAAACAACAGUAAGAUACCACUACACAUGUAUUAGAAUGGCCAAAACUGGGAACGCUGACAGCAUGGAAUGCUGGUGAGGAUGCAGAGCAAGAGGAAUUCUCGUUCACUGAGUCCUGUACAUUUCUCCCUGACCCUUUCCACAUAAGCUUGUCAAAGGGCUCAUCCUGCCCUGUCUGCUUCCUCUGCCCCUUUCUCCUGGGUUACUCCCACCCUGGCAUUUGUAGUGUGGGCCAGGCAGGGAGUGGGCCUUGCAGGAUGGUGGACACACAUGACCUAGGGCACGUUGUGGGGGGAUGUUGCCUCUACCCUACAGGCUGGCCUCACCUUCUGGGCAGCUGUCUCGGGGGAACCCCAGCACCCUGUUCCUUCUGUUCGUUAAAGCUGGACUUUGAAGGUUGAGACCUUUCCAGAAAACCACUUGGGUCCCUAGAGUUCAGGAAGGAGGAGCCUACAUUCCUCUCCAUUUUUCUGGGCUCACCUGACCACCAUCCCAUCCCAGCUGCUGCAUUUAAGGCCAUCACCCUAGCCAGUCAACUUCUCUGUUAACAAAAACUGCAGUGCUCCCAGGAAAGUUUCAUCUAAAUAUUGAUUCAUUGCUUCAUUCCACACACCUCUAAUGAGCUCAUCCUGCAAACCAUCAAAGACUGGGUGCAGAAUUGGCCCGCCACUGGGAUGUCUUUGCUGUAUCGUUAAGUAAAAAAGCAAGUCGUCAUCCCCCAAAUAAUUGAAAACAUUCAUACAAAUCCUUUUACACACAUGUUCAUAGCAGCACUGUUUACCAUCGCCAAAAGGUGGAAACAAUUGUCCAUCAAUGGAUGAAGGGAUGAACAAAAAGUGGUCCAUCCAUAUGAUGGAAUAUUUUAUUCAGCCUUAAAAAGAAUGAAGCACUGAUACAUGCUACAACAUGGACGAACCUCAGAAACAUUAAGCUCAGUGAAAGAAAAGGUCACGUAUCGUAUGACUUUGUUUUAUAUGAAAUUUAUGGAAUAGGCAAAUCCAGAGACAGAAAGUAGAUGAGUGGUUGCCAGGAGCUGGGAAGAGGGGAUAAGGAGUGACUGCAUAAUGUACAUGAGGUCUCCUUGUGGGGUGAUGAAAAUAUUAUGGAACUGGAUAAGAUGGUUGCAAAACAUUGUGAAUGUACAUGGACCCCAGUGUUGAUAGCAGCACUAUUCACGAUAGCCAAGACAUGGAAACAACCUAAAUGUCCAUCCACAGAUGAAUGAACAAAGAAGAUGUGGUACAUAUAUACAAUGGAAUAUUACUCAGCCAUAAAAAAAGAAUGAAAUAAUGCCAUUUGCAGCAACAUGGAUGGACCUAGAGAUUAUCAUACUAAGUGAAGUAAGUCAGACAGAGAAAGACAAAUACCGUAUAAUAUUACUUAUAUAUGGAAUCUAAAAUAUGACACAAAUGACCGUAUCUACAAAACAGAAACAGACAGACACAGAGAACAGACUUGUGGUUGCCAAGGGGGAUGGGGGUGUGGAGGAGGGAUGGAUUGGGAGUUUGGGAUUAGCAGAUGCAAACUAUUAUAUAUAAAAUGGAUAAACAACAAGGUCCUACUAUAUAGCACAGGGAACUAUAUGCAAUAUCCUGUGGUAAACCGUAAUGGAAAAGAAUAUGAAAAAGAAUGUGUGUAUAUAUAUAUAUAUAUAUAUAACUGAAUCACUUUGCUGUACAGCAGAAAUUAACACAACAUUGUAAAUCAACUAUACUUCAAAAAAAUGUGAAUGUACUAAAUGCCACCAAAUCGUAGAGUUUAUUACUUUUUAAAAAAAAUUUAUUUAUUUUUGGCUGCGUUGGGUCUUCAUUGCUGCGUGUGGGCUUUCUCUAGUUGCAGCGAGCUGGGGCUACUCUUCACUGCGGUGUGCGGGCUUCUCAUUGUGGUGACUUAUCUUGUUGCGGAGCACAGGCCCUAGAGCGCAGACUCAGUAGUUGUGGCGCCCGGGCUUAGUUGCUCCGUGGCAUGGGGGAUCUUUCUGGACCAGGGAUCACACCUGUGUCCCCUGCAUUGGCAGGCGGAUUCUUAACCACUGCGCCACCAAGGAAGUCCCUGUACAGUUUAGAAUGAUGGUUACUGGUUGGGAAUUCUCUGGAAGUCAAAAAAAAAAAAAAAGAAAUAAAGAAGGAAAGAAGGAAAGAAAGAAAGGAAGUGGUUCCUAGUUAAUUUUAUGUUCUGUGAAUUUUACCUCAACUUAAAAAAAAAAACAAGCAAGUCACCAAAGGUAAGUAUUGCAUGCUUCUGCUUUGUCUUUAAAUAAAAGGACUUACAAGGGUGUGGGGUGGGAGGCAGUGCCGUCCAGGAGUGAAGGAAAGAGACUGCCCAGUAUCAAUCCCCUUCUCCUACCAGUCCUCAAGGCUUUGCGCCUCCCAGCCAAGUCUGCACAAGUGGAUGUGGCCUCCGGUCUGUGGGAAGGGUGGCUGCUUUGUGCCUGCCCAUUGGAGGGGCUCAGGAACAGUGAACUCUCAGGAUGGUGGUGAGAACAGAGUCCCAAUAUAGACCAGAUGGCUAACAGUGGUCACCCAGGCAGGAAGGCACUGGGUGGCCACAUUGUUCAUGAGCCCAUUGGGUCAACACAGGGGUGGCUGGGGAAGGAGGCCAGUUGUUAUCCACAGACUCCUAUCCAUUUGAUUAUUAAAAUCCUCUUCUGCUAAGGCCACCCUUCAGUGAAUGUCUUAGUCUGUUCAGGCUUCUAUAACAGACAUACCAUAGACUGGGUGGCUUAUAAGCAACAGGUAUUUAUUUCUCACAGUUUUGAAGGCUGGAAGUCCAAGAUCAAGGUGCUGGCAGAUGUGGUGUCUGGUGAGAGCUAACUUCCUGGUUCAUAGAUGGCAUCUUCUUGCUGUGUCCUCACAUGGCAGAAGGGACCAGGGAGCUCUCCGGGGUCUCUUUAUAAGGACACUGAAUCUCAUUCAGGAGGGACCCACCCUCAUGAUCUAAUUCCCUUCCAAAGACCCCACCUUCUAAUACCAUCACCUUGGGGGGUAGGAUUUGAACAUAUGAAUUUGUUUGGGGGGGGACACAAACAAUCAGAACAUAGCAGUGAGCAUUGACAUGGGAUACCUCACACUUAUUGCCCAUUCAGAGAAGCCUGUUUGCAGAUCUCUUCCCCAGACUUCUUCAUCAUGAAUUUUCCAAUCAUCUUCUUUUCAAGUCCCUGAUCCUCCAGCCAAACCACUGGCUCCAGCCUCCGAAUCAGCAUAAGAUCACACAUCUGGCCAUUUCUCCUUCCAGGUAAAAUGAACAACAAAACCUGGUGCCCUGCUCACAGUUCUGCCCACUGGGAUCCCCUUCACUACUGUCCUUCAGGGGUGUCCCAGAGAGGGGCUAUAGUGCUGCAGCUGUUCAGUUUCAGGGGGUGUCUGCAGAUCAUGCAGAACCAUCUGUAAACCAGGCCUGAAUUUUCUUUCCCUUAACUGAUGGUAGGGACCUCCCCAGGAAGCCAUAGGUGCAGCAUGAGAGAGAGCAGGUAGCAGGGCUCUGUACCAUGUGACCUUUUGCUUAAACAGUGCAGUUUUAUAUUACCCCUAUAAUAAUUUUUGAAAACCUGCAUACUCACUACUGUGGUCUGACUGUUUGUGUCUCCCCCCACCCCCAAUGUGUAUGUUGAAAUCCUACCCCCCAAGGUGAUGGUAUUAGGAGGUGGGGCCUUUGGAAGGGAAUUAGGUCAUGAGGGUGGGUCCCUCAUGAAUAGGAUUAGUGCCCUUAUAAAGAUAACCAAGACUCCCUGAUAUACACUAUUAGAAGCGACAGAUGUGGGGCAAGAGAUUGUGCUAGAACCAUCCACAGCAUGGUGGCUAAAUGCAGUCUGCUGUCUGUUUCUGUACAGCCUGUGAGUUAAGAAUGGCCUUUUCUUUUCCUUCCUUCCUCCCUCCCUCCCUCUUCCUUCCUUCCUUCCUUUCUCUUUCUUUCUUUCUUAUUUCUUUUUCUUUCUUUCUUUUUCUUUCUUUCUUUCUUUCUUUCUUUCUUUCUUUCUUUCUUUCUUUCUUUUUGUCUCUUUUCCUUCCUCCCUCCCUCCCUCCCUCCCUUCCUUCCUUCCUUCCUUCCUUCCUUCCUUCCUUCCUUCAUUUUUGACCAUGCCUCACGGCAUGCAAUAUCUUACUUCCCUGACCAGGGAUUGAGCCCAUGCCCCCUGCAGUGGAAGCAUGGAGUCUUAACCACUGGACCGCCAGGGAAGUCCCCAGGCCUUUUCAUUUAUAAAUGGCUGGAAAAAAUUUUCACGACUUGAAAAUUAUCUGCAAUUCAAAUUUUAAUGUCCAAGGGAUUGGGGGGAUAGAACAGAUGUUGUUGAAGGGCAUAAACUUGCAAUGAGUAGUAAAUAAGUCCUAGAGUUCCACAGAUGCACAGAAGAGUAAAUAUAGACAACAGUCUUGUAUUAUAAUCAUCAGACUUGCUAAGAGACUAGCAAUUUAAUUAUUCCCACCACUAAAAAGAAAUAAUGAUGUAACAUCAUAGAGGUGCUAAUUAUGGAUACAAUGGCAAUCAUAUUAUAAUAUCUAAAUCAGUUACAAUAUAUAAAUGUGUCAAGUGUUGGACACCUUAAAUUUACACAGUGUUAUAUGGCAAAUAUAUUUCAAUUAAAGUCAGAGUUCAUAAAUAAAGUUUUAUUGACACACAGCUGUGCUCAUUCAUUUACCUACUAUCUGGGGCUGCUUUUACACUACGAGGCAGAGUUGAGUCAUUGCAACAGAGACUGCCUGGCCCUCAGAGCAGAAAAUAUUUCCUGUCUGGCCCUUUCCAGAUGUUUGCAGACCCCUGCUCUGAGGAGCCUAAGACCUGAAUGUUACCUGAUGCUGACUCGGGGCUUCCUGGGAUGUUUCCUGGUUGGCACAGCAAAGAGUUCUGGAGGCUGGAACAUCCAAGACCAAGGUGCCAUCAGGUCUGGUGUCCAGUGAGGGCUUCGUGGUUCACAGAUGGUGUCAUUUUGCUGUGUCCUCACAUGGCAGAAAGGGCAAGUGUAUGGUGGAGUUUCCAGGGGAGAUUGGCUAUUGCAACAGGUGGAAUGCAGCAUCAGAUAUGAGAAUCCAGCUGCUUUCUGUUCAGUCAACAUUAAUGGGAAGCAAACAUGUAAAACAAUGCCUCUCUUUUUAUGGCAUGUUUUUGUUUUGAAUGUGAUUAUUUUUCAUUAAAAAUGUUAUUCGUUA